AGGAAAUCAGUGUACAUACCUAUUUGCAAGUUUCAACCCUUCAUUCCCAGUGAUAACAUAUAGGAGACAACCGCUGAUCGGGUGGCUCUGAAAGUAUCAAGGGAAUCGAUAAAAAUAACAACUUCUUAACAAAUGAGCUUAUGAGACAAAUAUCAUUACAACAGAUCCCGUUGGAGGCUGUGCAAGAUUGAUAAGGUAAAGAGAUGCAACAACAGAACAACUAAAUGUGAUAAUACAAUAGAGGGAUCAUUGCAUACAACAACAAAGUUCAAUCAUUGACACUAGAAUUAUUAAAGGAUCUGCUGUUGGAAUUUUUAGGUGCAAGCACUUACUCUUGGAUAUCUUUAUGAAAGAAUACCGCAACACCAUAGAUCGAACAGAUACCAAACCAAAUCCAAUAAAUAUUAGACCAACUAGUAGAUGGAGUAUAACUGAUAGGAGCACCAUAAAUGGUAAACGAGAUGGCAGCUGAAGGAAAACAUAUUGGAAACCCCUUGGAUGCAGUAAACCCGUUAGAAAACCAAAAUAAAUUAUAAAAACCAACAUCAUCAAACAUCAUUUGUAAAGUGGUAGAUAUUCGAAAGGAUCAAAUGCAAUUAAUGUGAUAGAAAUUAAUAUUGUUCAGUACGUCGCAAGAAAAAUGUCAUCAAAUAAGUAAAUUAAAGAGAACAAAACUAAAGAGAUAAUUUAUAUAAUAAUCAAAAUGAAUCGUAAACAAUAAGAGAAAAAAGAUGAGAAGGGAGUCGAUCUGUAAAAUUAAGAGAUGAAUUGUAAAAGAAAAAAAUCAGAUUGAAUAGUAAAAAAGGAUCAGAUUCAAUUAGAAGAGGAAAAACGUAAAAGAAAAUUGAAUUUAAGCAGAAUUGGUAAAAUAAGUAAGAGGAAGAACAAGAUAAGAUAGUAGAUCUGAAUUGGCAAAGGACUGGCUACAAAAGGUAGAAGAUGGGGAG
rnacentral:lncRNA from 1 species